AUGGGAAGCAAGGCAGGGCCGCCGCCGCUGGCUGAAAACCACUCGUCGCCUGUCAUGGCGGCCUCCGCCACCACCGACGGUCCACCCUUCCCCAUCUACAUCUCAUCCGACGAGGACGAGGACGUAGCAGUCCUUGGUUCCUCCAGCAACCCCGAGGAGAUCCAGAUCCAGCAGGCCAUCCUCCUCUCCAUCGGCCUCUCGCGCGACACGACAGGCAUCCCCUCCUCCUCGGCCUCCCUCUCCGGAACCGACGUCGACAUAACAGACCGCAAAGGCAAGCGUAAACUACGAUCGGAGUCGCCACAUCAAGUCAUAGAUAUAGAUGAUAAUGAUAGGCAAGAAGUCAUCGAUGUAGACGACGAUGACAGCCUGAUCUUCAUCAAAGAGACGGGCAGCGGGAAGUGGAGAAAACCACGUAACGGUGGCCUGUUGGAGGUCGGCGAAGGUUCCCACAGCGCCACGAUCAUGAAAGAGUUCUACUGCACAAUCUGCAUGGAGACGCUCCCCGGCGUCGAGCGCUUCCCCGUCGCCGGGUGCGCGCACGCCUUCUGCGCGGGCUGCGUGAGGCAGUACAUCGCGGCGAGGGUCGAGGACAACCUGCUGUCCAUGGGCUGCCCCGACCCGGGCUGCAAGGACGGCGUGCUGCACCCGGAGGAAUGCCGCGACAUCGUCCCGCCUCAGCUGUUCCAGCGGUGGGGCGCCGCGCUCUGCGAAGUGGCGCUCGGGGACCUCAAGUUCUACUGCCCCUUCAAGGACUGCUCGGCGCUGCUGAUCGACGACGGCCCCGGCCCCGGCGACGGGGGCGCGGUGGCGCUCACGAACGUGGAGUGCCCACACUGUAACCGGAUGUUCUGCGCGCAGUGCAAGGUGCCGUGGCACGAAGGCGUGGGCUGCGCCGAGUUCCAGCGGCUCGGGGAGGACGAGCGCGGGCGGGAGGACCUGCUGCUGAGGAAGGUCGCGCAGGAGAGGAGGUGGCAGAGGUGCCCCCGGUGCAAGAUGUACGUCGAAAGGGUGACCGGCUGCCAGUUCAUGAGCUGCAGGUAA
rnacentral:rRNA from 1 species